GACUUCGGUCUGGUGGCGAGUGGCGAACGGGUGAGUAAUGCAUUGGAACGUACCGAGUAGUGGGGGAUAACUAGUCGAAAGAUUAGCUAAUACCGCAUACGCAUUGAGAUGGAAAGCGGGGGAUCUUAGGACCUCGCGCUAUUUGAGCGGCCAAUGUCUGAUUAGCUAGUUGGUGGGGUAAAGGCCUACCAAGGCGACGAUCAGUAGCGGGUCUGAGAGGAUGAUCCGCCACACUGGGACUGAGACACGGCCCAGACUCCUACGGGAGGCAGCAGUGGGGAAUUUUGGACAAUGGGCGAAAGCCUGAUCCAGCCAUGCCGCGUGUCUGAAGAAGGCUUUCGGGUUGUAAAGGACUUUUGUCAGGGAAGAAAAGGUGAUUGCUAAUAUCAGUCGCUGAUGACGGUACCUGAAGAAUAAGCACCGGCUAACUACGUGCCAGCAGCCGCGGUAAUACGUAGGGUGCGAGCGUUAAUCGGAAUUACUGGGCGUAAAGCGAGCGCAAACGGCUUUGUUAA
rnacentral:rRNA from 1 species